rnacentral:rRNA from 1 species
UACGUAGGGGGCUAGCGUUGUCCGGAUUUAUUGGGCGUAAAGAGCGUGUAGGCGCCAGGUGGUCUGCUGUGAAAACUCGAGGCUCAACCGUCGAGACGUCGGCGGAAACCAUCUGGCUAGAGUCCGGAAGAGGAGAGUGGAAGUUCCUGGUGUAGCGGUAGAAAUGCGCGAGAUAAUCAGGAAGAACACCCGUGACGAAGGCGGCUCUCUGGGACGGUACUGACGCUGAGACGCGAAAGCGUGGGGAGCGAACA